rnacentral:rRNA from 1 species
CAGCACCUCAAGUGGUCAGGAUGAUUAUUGGGCCUAAAGCAUCCGUAGCCGGCUCUGUAAGUUUUCGGUUAAAUCUGUACGCUCAACGUACAGGCUGCCGGGAAUACUGCAGCGCUAGGGAGUGGGAGAGGUAGACGGUACUCGGUAGGAAGGGGUAAAAUCCUUUGAUCUAUUGAUGACCACCUGUGGCGAAGGCGGUCUACCAGAACACGUCCGACGGUGAGGGAUGAAAGCUGGGGGAGCAAACCGGAUUAGAGACCCCCGUAGUCC